CAAAAGCCUAAAACUCAUGUUUGAAGAGCACAUAUAGUGGAAUACAAAUGUGCUGGGAUAAGGAUUUUUUCUGAAUCCCGCAAUUUUGGUGAUGUACUCUGCAACAGCAUGUUUGUUGUUAUGGCUGUUUUUACUUUGGUUCAGAAGGCAACCCAACUAAGAGAUAGAGUUUCAGUGACAUGAAGAAUGUGAAGUGAACCACCUAUCACCACGCUACUGC